rnacentral:rRNA from 1 species
AGAGUUUGAUCCUGGCUCAGAUUGAACGCUGGCGGCAUGCCUUACACAUGCAAGUCGAACGGCAGCACGGGAGCAAUCCUGGUGGCGAGUGGCGAACGGGUGAGUAAUAUAUCGGAACGUGCCCAGUCGUGGGGGAUAACGCAGCGAAAGCUGUGCUAAUACCGCAUACGAUCUACGGAUGAAAGCGGGGGAUCGCAAGACCUCGCGCGAUUGGAGCGGCCGAUAUCAGAUUAGCUAGUUGGUGGGGUAAAAGCCCACCAAGGCGACGAUCUGUAGCUGGUCUGAGAGGACGACCAGCCACACUGGAACUGAGACACGGUCCAGACUCCUACGGGAGGCAGCAGUGGGGAAUUUUGGACAAUGGGCGAAAGCCUGAUCCAGCAAUGCCGCGUGCAGGACGAAGGCCUUCGGGUUGUAAACUGCUUUUGUACGGAACGAAACGGUCUCUUCUAAUAAAGGGGGCUAAUGACGGUACCGUAAGAAUAAGCACCGGCUAACUACGUGCCAGCAGCCGCGGUAAUACGUAGGGUGCGAGCGUUAAUCGGAAUUACUGGGCGUAAAGCGUGCGCAGGCGGUUAUAUAAGACAGAUGUGAAAUCCCCGGGCUCAACCUGGGACCUGCAUUUGUGACUGUAUAGCUAGAGUACGGUAGAGGGGGAUGGAAUUCCGCGUGUAGCAGUGAAAUGCGUAGAUAUGCGGAGGAACACCGAUGGCGAAGGCAAUCCCCUGGACCUGUACUGACGCUCAUGCACGAAAGCGUGGGGAGCAAACAGGAUUAGAUACCCUGGUAGUCCACGCCCUAAACGAUGUCAACUGGUUGUUGGGUCUUCACUGACUCAGUAACGAAGCUAACGCGUGAAGUUGACCGCCUGGGGAGUACGGCCGCAAGGUUG